rnacentral:rRNA from 1 species
GAUGAACGCUAGCGGCAGGCUUAACACAUGCAAGUCGAGGGGCAGCACGAGUAGCAAUACUUGGUGGCGACCGGCGCAAGGGUGCGUAACGCGUGAGCAACAUGCCCGUAUCAGGGGGAUAAUCCAGGGAAACUUGGUCUAAUACCCCAUAGUAAUCAUAUCAGGCAUCUGGUAUGAUUUAAAGCUUAGGUGGAUACGGAUUGGCUCGCGUGACAUUAGCUAGAUGGUAAGGUAACGGCUUACCAUGGCUAUGAUGUCUAGGGGUUCUGAGAGGAAGGUCCCCCACACUGGAACUGAGACACGGUCCAGACUCCUACGGGAGGCAGCAGUGAGGAAUAUUGGACAAUGGAUGGAAAUCUGAUCCAGCCAUGCCGCGUGAAGGACGACGGUCCUAUGGAUUGUAAACUUCUUUUGUAUGGGAGCAAUAAGGUCUACGUGUAGAUCGAUGAGAGUACCAUACGAAUAAGC